CGCAUCUGUGCAUGCAGCAUAUCAAUAAGCGGAGGAAAAGAAACUAACAAGGAUUCCCCUAGUAACGGCGAGUGAAGCGGGAAGAGCUCAAAUUUGAAAUCUUAAAGGGUUUCCCUUUACGAAUUGUAGUUUAAAGAAGUGUUUUCUGUUGAGGUUUUGGUAAAAGUUCUUUGGAAUAGGACAUCAUAGAGGGUGAGAAUCCCGUAUUUGACCUUUACUUUCAACUUUGUGAUACACUUUCAAAGAGUCGGAUUGUUUGGGAAUGCAGUCCAAAAUGGGUGGUAAAUUUCAUCUAAAGCUAAAUAUUGGCGAGAGACCGAUAGCGAACAAGUACCGUGAGGGAAAGAUGAAAAGAACUUGAAAAGAGAGUUAAACAGUACGUGAAAUUGUCAAAAGGGAAGCGUUUGACACCAGUGUUGUUUUUCUGAAAAUCAAUUAAAGAACUGUUUAUGCUAAGCUUGUUUAGACUUUAUCAGCUAACUGUUUAGUUUUGAGCUUUUCUUUAAUGCACUUUUCAGUUAACAAGUCAACAUCAAUUUCUUUUGCUGUAAAAAAGCUUGAGGAAGGUGGCUUGAGAUUCGUCUUAAGUGUUUAUAGCCUCUUGCCUAUGCAGUCGGAGAGAUUGAGGUCUGCAGCGUAGAUCCUUCGGGGCUAAAUGCAUUUGUGCUAAGUUAUAGCAUUUUAUAGACAACUUGUUGACUAUGAUUUGUCUUGUAGCUUACUCGCUUAUGCUAUUCUACCUACGCUUAGGAUGUUGAGCGCAUGUCUCUCUCU
rnacentral:rRNA from 1 species